rnacentral:rRNA from 1 species
UACAGAGGGUGCGAGCGUUAAUCGGAAUUACUGGGCGUAAAGCGUGCGUAGACGGUCGCGUAAGUCAGAUGUGAAAGCCCCGGGCUCAACCUGGGAACUGCAUUUGAGACUGCUCUGCUCGGGUGCGGAAGAGGGAAGCGGAAUUUCCGGUGUAGCGGUGAAAUGCGUAGAUAUCGGAAGGAACACCAGUGGCGAAAGCGGCUUCCUGGUCCGACACCGACGUUCAGGCACGAAAGCGUGGGGAGCAAACAGG